GAUGAAGAACGUAGUGAAAUGCGAUAAGUAAUGCGAAUUGCAGAAUUCAGUGAAUCAUCGAAUCUUUGAACGCACAUUGCGCCCGCUAGUAUUCUGGCGGGCAUGCCUGUCUGAGCGUCAUUUCAACCCUCGCCCCCGGCUUUUGCUGGGAGCGGUGUUGGGGAUCGGCCGCCCGUCACUGGGAGGCCGGCCCCGAAAUAGAGUGGCGACCACGCCGUGUGCUCCUCUGCGUAGUAGUAAAUCACCUCGCAGGCGGACAGCGGUGCGGCCUGCCGUAAAACCCCCAACUCUUCUAAGGUUGACCUCAGAUCAGGUAGGAAUACCCGCUGAACUUAAGCAUAUCAAUAAGCGGAGGA
rnacentral:misc_RNA from 1 species